rnacentral:rRNA from 1 species
CCUACGGGAGGCAGCAGUGGGGAAUAUUGCACAAUGGGCGCAAGCCUGAUGCAGCGACGCCGCGUGAGGGAUGACGGCCUUCGGGUUGUAAACCUCUUUCAGUAGGGAAGAAGCCGCAAGGUGACGGUACCUGCAGAAGAAGCGCCGGCUAACUACGUGCCAGCAGCCGCGGUAAUACGUAGGGCGCAAGCGUUAUCCGGAAUUAUUGGGCGUAAAGAGCUCGUAGGCGGUUUGUCGCGUCUGCCGUGAAAGUCCGGGGCUCAACUCCGGAUCUGCGGUGGGUACGGGCAGACUAGAGUGAUGUAGGGGAGACUGGAAUUCCUGGUGUAGCGGUGAAAUGCGCAGAUAUCAGGAGGAACACCGAUGGCGAAGGCAGGUCUCUGGGCAUUAACUGACGCUGAGGAGCGAAAGCAUGGGGAGCGAACAGGAUUAGAUACCCUGGUAGUCCAUGCCGUAAACGUUGGGCACUAGGUGUGGGGGACGAUUCCACGUUUUCCGCGCCGUAGCUAACGCAUUAAGUGCCCGCCUGGGGAGUACGGCCGCGAAGGCUAAAACGUUCAAAUGAAUUGACGG